CUCAACACUAUCCCAUCACUGCUAACAUUACUUCAGCAGUAACACCUAUUCAUAAAGCAUCAUUUCUGUCUCCUACUGGACAUAAGAACCUCUGAGUGGUCUUCUCUCAAUAGCUGGUGUCUCCUUUCCACCAACAGACUGUUCCUGUAUACUGGGAUUAUAUGCUGGCCUUCCUGAACAGAGAUGAUGGCAGACACUUGAAAGUGAUAUUGCCUAGCAAUACUGUACAGACACUCAAGUCUUCUAGAAGAUUAUGCAAGUGUGGCAGUAUUUGCCAUAAUAAGUAGGACAAGGAGAGCACCAGCAUCAAAUCAAUCAAGAUUUGCUUUGCUUUAAUAGGAAAAGAACUCAGGCUUCAAAGAUACUCUUCAGCUUUCAUCAUCAGCUACUGGAGCAACUGCUUCUAUGCUUUUCAAGCAUAAAAAAAAGAAA